GUGGAUGAAACUGAUGACGUAGAUUCUGUUAAAGACCAUUCCAGUGUGCAAACAGAUGAUACUGUUCCAAAGCUCAAAAGGACCAAAAGCUUUCUGAAACCAGUACUUGAUUUCUCUGAUGCUCUCUAUGAUUCAACUGACAGUGACGAUACUGAGAAUCCUUCCACUUUUAGUUCAAAAAUGACUUUACAAAGGCCGAAGCGAGGCUGUUGCCAUCCGUAGAUUUAUGCCAAGG